GAGCAGAAUGCACUGGUAUAGAAGUCUGACGCUCAUGUAGAGACUUGUGUUGGCCCCCUCCUGUGUGUCAGUAGGUUCUAGUUUUCAAGCUCACUGCUCUGGUGGGUUAAGGGCCAAGAGGGAGAGAGAGAAAAAGAGAGAAAGACAGAAAGGGAGAGAGAGAGAGAGAGAGUGAGUACCGGAAGAUGUUGACAGGGCAGAAGGAGAAAAUGACAUGGAGUGAGUUCCUCCAGUGGAUGUGGGGCAGUUUUAUGAUGGUUUCAUUUGACAGACAACGCAAGAUCUUCUGCCUCUUCAUCUUCAUCUUCCUGGUCUUCACCUGUUAACAUUACUGCCCAUCAGCUGGACCCUUCUGAGUGUGUACUGAGCACUGCCCCUGGAAAUCCUUAACGUUUACAUCACGCUUUGUUGCACCGAACGGCAAGACUACCGACCCGCCACCCACCCACCCACCCAUGCACAGCCACCGUUCGCU